rnacentral:rRNA from 1 species
CAGGGAUUGCCCUAGUAACGGCGAGUGAAGCGGCAAUAGCUCAAAUUUGAAAUCUGGCUCUGCUCUAGGGUCCGAGUUGUAAUUUGUAGAGGGUGCUUUGGCACUGAUGGCGGUCUAAGUUCCUUGGAACAGGACAUCACAGAGGGUGAGAAUCCCGUAUGUGGUCGCUGAUCUUUGCCGUGUAAAGCCCCUUCAACGAGUCGAGUUGUUUGGGAAUGCAGCUCUAAAUGGGAGGUAAAUUUCUUCUAAAGCUAAAUAUUGGCCAGAGACCGAUAGCGCACAAGUAGAGUGAUCGAAAGAUGAAAAGCACUUUGGAAAGAGAGUCAAAAAGCACGUGAAAUUGUUGAAAGGGAAGCGCUUGCCGCCAGACUUGCCUGCAGUUGCUCACCUAGGCGUUCAGCCUGGGGCACUCUUCUGCAGGCAGGCCAGCAUCAGUUUGGGCAGCCGGAUAAAGGUCUCUGACACGUUCCUACCUUUGUGUAGGCCAUAUAGGGGAGACGUCAUGCGGUUAGCCUGGACUGAGGUCCGCGCAUUGCUAGGAUGCUGGCGUAAUGGCUGCAAGCGGCCCGUCUUGAAACACGGACCAAGGAGUCUAACAUCUAUGCGAGUGUUUGGGUGUCAAGCCCGAGCGCGCAAUAAACGUGAACGGAGGUGGGAACCCUCUUUGGGGGUGCACCAUCGACCGAUCCUGAUGUCUUCGGAUGGAUUUGAGUAAGAGCAUAGCUGUUGGGACCCGAAAGAUGGUGAACUAUGCUUGAAUAGGGUGAAGCCAGAGGAAACUCUGGUGGAGGCUCGCAGCGGUUCUGACGUGCAAAUCGAUCGUCAAAUUUGGGCAUAGGGGCGAAAGACUAA